rnacentral:rRNA from 1 species
ACACUGACGUCGCGACGCAUAUCAAUAAGCGGAGGAAAAGAAACUAACAAGGAUUCCCUUAGUAACGGCGAGUGAAGCGGGAAGAGCUCAAAUUUGAAAUCUUCAAGGUUCUACCUUGACGAAUUGUAGUUUAAAGAAGUGUUUUCUGUUGAAGUUUUGGUAAAAGUUCUUUGGAAUAGGACAUCAUAGAGGGUGAGAAUCCCGUAUUUGACCAUUAUUUCCAGCUUUGUGAUACACUUUCAAAGAGUCGGAUUGUUUGGGAAUGCAGUCCAAAAUGGGUGGUAAAUUUCAUCUAAAGCUAAAUAUUGGCGAGAGACCGAUAGCGAACAAGUACCGUGAGGGAAAGAUGAAAAGAACUUUGAAAAGAGAGUUAAACAGUACGUGAAAUUGUCAAAAGGGAAGCGUUUGACACCAGUGUUGUUUUCUCGAAAAUCAAUUAAAAAAGACUGGAUUUUGUGUUGUAUUGACUUUAUCAGCUUUCUGCACUCUUUUCUUGUCUUUUUUAAUGCACUUUUCGUUUAACAAGUCAACAUCAAUUUCUUUUGUUGUAAAAGGGUCAUUGGAAGGUGGCUUUCUUUUCGGAGAAAGUGUUUAUAGCCUUUGGCCUCUGCAAUCGGAGAGAUUGAGGUCUGCAGCGUAGAUCCUUCGGGGUUAGAUACGUAGAUGCUAAGUUAUAGUUUUUUAUAGACAACUUGUUGACUAUAAUUAAUCAUGUAGCUUACUCGUUUGCGCUAUUUUACCUACGCUUAGGAUGUUGAAGUCGUAGAGCACGCAG